UACAGAGGGGUUAGCGUUGUUCGGAAUCACUGGGCGUAAAGAGUUCGUAGGCGGUCUCGCCAGUCAGAGGUGAAAGCCCAGGGCUCAACCUUGGAACUGCCUUUGAUACCGCAAGACUAGAAUCCGUGAGAGGGUGGUGGAAUUCCCAGUGUAGAGGUGAAAUUCGUAGAUAUUGGGAGGAACACCAGUGGCGAAGGCGGCCACCUGGCGCGGUAUUGACGCUGAGGAACGAAAGCGUGGGGAGCAAACAGG
rnacentral:rRNA from 1 species